rnacentral:misc_RNA from 1 species
UACGAAGGGGGCUAGCGUUGUUCGGAAUUACUGUGCGUAAAGCGCAUGUAGGCGGCCAUGCAAGCCAGAGGUGAAAUCCCGGAGCUCAACUCCGGAACUGCCUUUGGAACUGCAUGGCUAGAGUCUCGGAGGGGAUAGCGGAAUUCCUAGUGUAGAGGUGAAAUUCGUAGAUAUUAGGAGGAACACCGGCGGCGAAGGCGGCUAUCUGGACGAGUACUGACGCUGAGAUGCGAAAGCGUGGGGAGCAAACAGG